rnacentral:rRNA from 1 species
GACGAACGCUGGCGGCGUGCCUAAUAUAUGCAAGUAGAACGCUGAAGGAGGAGCUUGCUUCUCUGGAUGAGUUGCGAACGGGUGAGUAACGCGUAGGUAACCUGCCUGGUAGCGGGGGAUAACUAUUGGAAACGAUAGCUAAUACCGCAUAAGAGUAGAUGUUGCAUGACAUUUGCUUAAAAGGUGCAAUUGCAUCACUACCAGAUGGACCUGCGUUGUAUUAGCUAGUUGGUGAGGUAACGGCUCACCAAGGCGACGAUACAUAGCCGACCUGAGAGGGUGAUCGGCCACACUGGGACUGAGACACGGCCCAGACUCCUACGGGAGGCAGCAGUAGGGAAUCUUCGGCAAUGGACGGAAGUCUGACCGAGCAACGCCGCGUGAGUGAAGAAGGUUUUCGGAUCGUAAAGCUCUGUUGUAAGAGAAGAACGAGUGUGAGAGUGGAAAGUUCACACUGUGACGGUAUCUUACCAGAAAGGGACGGCUAACUACGUG